rnacentral:lncRNA from 1 species
GGCUCCGCCGGGAGCCGCUGAGGGGAGGGGACUGCAGGAGGCGGGUUAACAGCAACCAAGGCCGUCGCAAGCCUCAACGGUCCCAGAAGGAGGGGGGAGCCGGCGGACGGCUUGUUGCGUGUGAAGCGCGACAUGGCGGCGAGGCCGACCAGCCCGAGUGGCCUCGUGUAUGCAGAGAAGGGGCGGGGCUAGAGCGGUCUCGACCUCCAGUAGACUUGCCUCCGGCAGGGCCGCGCGGAGACUACAUUUCCCAGAGGGUGCUGCGCGUCGCGGAAAGGAGGGGGAGGAAGCACUUUGACUCCAGUGCGCAGGCGUGAGAGUCUCCUCAGGCUAUUUAAGCGAGGCUGGAGUGUUUCGCGUUCUUUCGCUUCUGCGGCUCUCGUCGGAGCCUUCGUCUCUCUGUUCCUCUUCUGAUGGCGUUCUACCCUGGGAACGUGGGUGUGCUACUCCAUGUGGUUUGCAUGAUCAGAGACUGCAGGAUGGAUCUCGGAGAAGACGGCUCCUGCUGGGCCUCUAAGGCAACCAUGUAUAGACAUCCACAAUCUUCAGUCUCCUGAUCUCUGGGGUUUACUAGUGGCAGAAAGCAGACUUUGAAUGGACUAUCAUUUGGAAAGAAUGGGUAAGUCAUGUCCAUUAACUGUUCCUUUUUAAAAGGGGUUAUCCCCCUCGCGUUCUAAUUACUGUGACCCAAAUAUAUGGCCAUUGCAGCUGAUGACUUUUCUCCCAGUCAGAUCGACCCUGUUGAUCUCACUGAAUUAGCCAGUUUUGUUGAUGGCAUUGGUCACAAACACAACCUCAGUUUUCUGCUUACCAUCAACAGAUUUUGCUAUGUGGGAAUUGGGCUUGCUUCAAGGGUUUUUUCCCCCCUUAACCAAUCAAGUUAUUGGCUUCAUUUGUUGACUUUCUGCAGGGCUAGAGCACCCUGUGUUCGUCAAGGCAAUGAGGAAGUGGAUUCCAGCCUGAUUUUGCCGUCAGCUUGGUUCAGUCUAUCCUGUAACAGGGCAUUUAUCAGCUAUGGACUUGGAAUACAAGGCCUCAAAUGACUGAUCCUGUGCUCUCCAGAGAAAGCAUGGCUUGGUUGAUCAGUCUCACAAGAUGAUUCUGGAACCCAGGUAUCCAGAGUUGGAAAAGCCUCUGCCUGCUCUGAAGAAUCAGUUACUGAUUUUUAGCCUCCCUAUGUGGAAAAUAAAGCCCUUUAAAUCAAAACGUUGUUGCACUUGAUUAUUGGAGAUAGUGGCUUAGAACAGGGGCAAUGAGUAACCACCAUAUUUUUAGCCCCAAGGGCAGGUAGCAGGUAAAUCCCAUACUUGUACAUUUUUACAGGAAUUUUUCUGAUCAGGGUUGUUCCCAGUCUAGGGGUGUGGAAUCUAGCUGUAGCUUUUUAUCUUUUCUGGUAAGACUUAGUAUUGACUCCUUGAAUCCCAUCCCCUUGAGCAUAUGAGAAUGGAUCUAGUGCUUCCAAGGAAUAGAAGACUAGCAAGAGAGGGGACCAUUAACCUCUGAUAAUAGGUUGUAAAAGACUUCAUGAAGUCUUAAUUGCUUGGCACUUUGCAACACCAAGUUUGCAAGAAAGGAAUUUAUGUGCAGGGAACUAAAUCCUGCCAUCCAGAGUCUGCAAGCAGUUCCUAACCUGGUUUUAUUGCAACUAGAAACCCUGUUGGCACCUCUGAGAGGGCCCUGUAACAGGAGUCUGUCCCUAGAUUCCUGACCUGAGGAAAAAGGCUGAGUUCUCACUGAGCUACAGCUGUGAUGGGACCCCUAACCUGGGAACUUUCGCAUGCAGCUGUUUUGGCCUUAAAAAACAGAAAUGGCUGGAAAUGUUUGAAGUCAGUCAGUUCUGGGUUAACCUAACCAGCAAUAAGUAUAAAACUCCCAUAAUCAGAAGCCAUCUGUACAGACUUGCAUCUUUUUUUUUUGUUUUGUUUUGUCUUUUGUCUUUUUUGUUGUUUGUUGCCCCAGGCUAGGGGUU